GGCCCGACGUUCCGGAGCUUACGGAUGAUUCGGAGAAGAUGCAUCGUCAACUGAGCGGGUGCGAGGAAUAGGUUUCUUGAAGCUUGUUUCUGUUUCGUUUAAUGUUCAGGCCACUUCGAUUGGUUUUGACGUAUUGCAUAUGAAAAGCGGGUUGUUCAAAUGCAUCGUUUGCAUCUUUUGCAUGAGUGAAUAAUGGGAAUUGUGUUCGAUCGCACACACUGUGGAAGUGCUUCUUUUUUGUUUAUUUUGGGAUAGCGAUUUAGGGUAGAAGUCAUGCUUGCCGUGUUGCAGAUGCAUUCUUACCUUGCAUUUUGACAUUACUGUUGAGGGAUAAGCUUUAGCUGUCCCUGAUCUAAAGAAUGAUGUGGUAAUGUGCGACAGAGACACAGCUGGCAAAUAUUUUCUUUGUGAGAUGAUCAUUCGCAAUCUAUAUGUUACUUGUCAUGGUCACCUAAUGGUAAACACAUGGCAACAUCUUGUUUGGAUAGGCAGGUUUUAAUUUGGGAUGUUUGAUUAGAAGCAGGACAUUGACAGCCAGAAAUUUGAUGAUAGGAUAUGUUGCGUGUCAUAAAAGCCCAUUGGCAAUGCCUUGGCUGUCGUUGAUACCACGGGCAGGUAUGGUGUGUGGGUAUCUGCUAUUCCUUCUAUAAUGAAAUCUCCAAGUGAAGGAAUUCUAAAUUCACGAUCAAACAACAGUAAUAGGUUGCUUUUAUUUGAUGAGAAGGACGCAGAGCCUAGUGCUCCUGGGAACAUAAGUGAUCCUGGUGAAGAUAGUUUUGGUAUAUCUGGGUCACCUUGCAGAAAGAAGUUAAGAAAGUGGUCCUCUUAUCAUGAACGGUGAGAGGAAGACGACGGUGACGAUUUAAGCUUCUCACCAAAGCUCAAAUCUCAAAAUGGACAUCGCGAUAAAAAAGCAUCAGAUAAUGGUCUUGAGGGUCUAGGAAGCAUAAUGUCAUCUGCUAUGUCCAGAAUGCAACUUUACAGCUUGGUAGCACUACUGUGUAGCCAGGGAAAAGGUGGUUCUUAUGCUGUAACAUGAUAGGAGGUAUAACUACAGUUGAGUAAGAGGGGUACUCCCACAUACAAGUGAUGGUCUCUUUAGUUUAUGUGCACUCUUUUUUUCCACACGAUGGAUGGCUGUCUAAUUAUGAACGCAUCUCGGAUAUUUCAUGUUGCACUAACUAUUUUUGCUGCAAAUAGAUUUUCACGAUACUGGACUAGGUCCACGAGUCCCAUCAAAUGACAGAUCACUCUAGUUUCUCUAUGGCGUCCAUAAAUGAGAAUGGUAGUGUCUUUGGAAAUUUCUGCAAGGGUGAGAAAAUCUUGAGCACCCUCAUGUAUCACCCGUAUAUUCACUAAGGGUGGCUUGCAGGUUUGUCGCACAAAAAUAGAGACGAAGUUUCUGCAUUCUGCCUUGGGAAUGGUCGUCCUAUACGAUUCAUAGCAUCUUUCUUUUAUUACUGUCCAUGCUUAUCUUGGAAUCCUAAAUCAACUAGUACUCAUCAACAAGAACAUAGAAGCAUUUCUCUCCUGUUUUAUCGGUAGUAAUUAAUAUCCUCUGUUUCACCAUAACAAGUGGGGCCACAUAUCAAGUUACUGGGGUAGGGUUACCAUUGGUGAAUAGUUGCUUUAACUAACAGAACAUAAUGGAGAAGUUGCAAUGACAGCAAUUCUUGCCUUCAUUUGUCUCUGUGCAUGUUCAUGCUAGCUGAGCCAAUUCAUUCCAGAUCUGCACUCAAUCUCUGAUUCUCUGCCCUAUAUUAUAGAAACACAUGGUCUCACUUGAUGGGCCUAUGGUCACUGCAGCAGGCUUCAAGAAUGAGCUUUUGCAGUUGUCACUCGUGCUUCUGAUGGUCUUACUUCUGGUGAUUAGCUGGAAAUCAAAACCCACUCUUCACCGCAAGAUGCUCGGCAUUAAUGUGGUUUAACUCCGGUGAAGAGCGGCUGUUGAGUUUCUAUGACUCAAAGGUACAAUUGGAUUUUAGCCAUGUUGUUUUUUCUUUUCCUUCUUGUGAAACAUCUGGGGAAAAAAAUUAGUUGACAGAAAGUUAAUGUGCUUUUCUAGAUUACUGAAGUAGCAUAAAACUUUGGUUUUUGAUGUAAACAUUUUCCUCAUAUGUUUGGUUCAUUCUGAUAUCGCCAA